AAUGAACGUUGGCGGCGUGGAUUAGGCAUGCAAGGCGAGCGAGAACCGUGGCAAUACGGGGACAGCGGCGAAAGGGACAGUAAUGUGUAGGUACCUACCCCCGGGUUCGGGAUAGCUGCGGGAAACUGCAGGUAAUACCGAAUAAUGUCUUCGGACCAAAGGUGUGAUUCCACCUGGGGAGGGGCCUGCAUCCUAUUAGCUUGUUGGUGGGGUAACGGCUUACCAAGGCGACGAUGGGUAGCGGGUGUGAGAGCAUGACCCGCGUCAUUGGGACUGAGACACUGCCCAGACACCUACGGGUGGCUGCAGUCGAGGAUCUUCGGCAAUGGGCGCAAGCCUGACCGAGCGACGCCGCGUGCGGGAUGAAGGCCUUCGGGUUGUAAACCGCUGUCGUAGAGGAGGAAAUGCAGGAGGGUUCUCCCUUCUGUUUGACCUAUUCUAGGAAGAAGUACGGGCUAAGUUCGUGCCAGCCGCCGCUGUAA
rnacentral:rRNA from 1 species